AACGAACGCUGGCGGCAGGCUUAACACAUGCAAGUCGAACGCUCUCUUCGGAGGGAGUGGCAGACGGGUGAGUAACGCGUGGGAACCUACCUAGUAGUACGGAAUAACGUUUGGAAACGAACGCUAAUACCGUAUACGCCCUAUGGGGGAAAGAUUUAUCGCUAUUAGAUGGGCCCGCGUUGGAUUAGCUAGUUGGUGGGGUAAUGGCCUACCAAGGCGACGAUCUAUAGCUGGUCUGAGAGGAUGAUCAGCCACACUGGGACUGAGACACGGCCCAG
rnacentral:rRNA from 1 species